AUCACUUCAUGACCAUGGUAGGGAUAGUGAUGAUGAUGAUUUCCGAGACAGGGAUUAUGAUGUGGCAGCUCUUGCUAAUAACUUGAGCCAGGCAUUCCGAUAUGUGAUAUAUAACAAUGAUGAUAUGGAAGAGAAUCAAGGGACACUUGAACGGGAUGAUGAGGAUGUCUAUUUUGAUGAUGAAUCAGCAGAGGUCGUAAUAUG